rnacentral:rRNA from 1 species
GACGGGGGCCCGCACAAGCAGUGGAGCAUGUGGUUUAAUUCGAUGCAACGCGAAGAACCUUACCUAGGCUUGAAAAGCAAGCGACCGAGUGUGAAAGCACUCUUCCAGCAAUGGCGCUUGUACAGGUGCUGCAUGGCUGUCGUCAGCUCGUGCCGUGAGGUGUUGGGUUAAGUCUCGCAACGAGCGCAACCCCUACCAUUAGUUGCCAUCAGGUUAUGCUGGGCACUUUAAUGGGACUGCCUACGCAAGUAGUGAGGAAGGUGGGGAUGACGUCAAGUCAGCAUGGCCCUUACGUCUAGGGCUACACACGUGCUACAAUGGGUGCUACAAUGGGUUGCCAAGCCGCGAGGUGGAGCCAAUCCCAUAAAGGCAUCCUCAGUUCGGAUUGCAGUCUGAAACUCGACUGCAUGAAGCUGGAAUUGCUAGUAAUCGCGUAUCAGCACGACGCGGUGAAUACGUUCCCGGGCCUU